rnacentral:ncRNA from 2 species
CAGCACAACUCUGGAGAGACCGGCUUCGGGCCGGCGCCGAAGGGGCACGAGGAGCAGCACCUGCGCCUCCAAACUCUCAGGCAAAAGGACAGAGGGGCAAAC